UACAGCAACAGGAGGACUUCGGGCCAAACGCAUGAUACGUCUCAGUCUUGAGGGAUUUGCGGAGGUGUUGAGGAUUCCAGCUGCCUGUCUCCAUGUCCUCCUUCAGCAGUAGCCGCAGCAGGACCCCAGGGCUGACCAGUGGCUGCUCCCGGCUUCACCCUCGGAGCCACCAGUUGGUGACACCGAAAGGCCCCAUACGCAGGACACGGUGACGGCACGGCUGGCUCCAGGCAGGUUCGGCAAAGCAGAGCCGGGAGCCCCAGGGAGUCUGUGCACUGUGAUGUUCACGGUACCUUCAGCAUCAUAAACGUGCUACCCUGCAUUCCAUGGGUCGUAAGGAGCUGUACAUGAUUUUCAUACCAUAUUAUGCGAGCCAUUGGGAAAAAGCUGUCCGGAGUAAUGGCGCCAUUUCAACGUGACGCAUAUGCCAAGGUGGUGGAAUCUGGUUGAAAGCAAAGCAUGACAACGCCUGUGAUAUAGCGACAUUUUUCCGACUUGUUCUGAGCAUCCCUCAGGAACGCCUGCGGAUGGGACGGGUGCUUUUCCCUGCGCGGAGCAGAGCGCCGCAGCCGCGCCACGUCAUCUCGCUGCCUGUUCUCUGGCUCUGUGCUCUGCCCUCCCGGGUCAAAGCGAAAAUGGGAGAGGAUGGCAAGCCAAAGCGUGCGGAAGAUGACUCACCGGAUUAUUUUCUACUUUUCAAAUAUAGCCCUUGCAUUCUUGCCAACAUAUCGAUACAGUCAGGCUCUCCCUCCUGCAGCAAGCCUCACGUAUUUAUAUUUAUAUAUAGCACUGAAAGACCGAAACUGCAACCCACCCAGUGCAAUUCCUGUAAACACAACGUACCGAGGGUUUGACUGGCAACGUCUUUGGUCACCGUGAUCCUUCCCAUUUCAGGACUUGCUGAAACUGGUCAAAAUGGCUCCGGAGUACUGGGCAGCCCAUGACCUGCCUGACUUUGAGGAAGGAAAAGGCAGCUCAGCUGAGGUAUGUUCUCGCACCGAGAGAGGGCAAACGGGUGACAAAAGCGAUGCAGCCAGGGCUGGGAAGGAAGGCAUCUUUGCUCCUCUCCCUUCUAUGCUGAUGAUGCCCUGCAAAACCCGGCCCAGCUCCGAGCUGCGUGUCCCGCUGUCUAUUUUGGGAGGGAAGAAAGGAACGGGCUCACGUCU